UACGGAGGGGGCGAGCGUUAUUCGGAAUUAUUGGGCGUAAAGGGCGCGUAGGCGGCCUGAUAAGUCAAAGGUGAAAUCCCUCGGCUCAACUGAGGAAUUGCCUUUGAAACUGUCAGGCUUGAGGCCGGGAGGGGGUGGCGGAAUUCCCAGUAUAGCGGUGAAAUGCGUAGAUAUUGGGAGGAACACCAGUGGCGAAGGCGGCCACCUGGACCGGUUCUGACGCUGAUGCGCGAAAGCGUGGGGAGCAAACAGG
rnacentral:rRNA from 1 species